UACGUAGGUCCCGAGCGUUGUCCGGAUUUACUGGGUGUAAAGGGAGCGCAGGUGGUUUAUUAAGUCUGGUGUAAAAGGCAGUGGCUCAACCAUUGUAUGCAUUGGAAACUGGUAGACUUGAGUGCAGGAGAGGAGAGUGGAAUUCCAUGUGUAGCGGUGAAAUGCGUAGAUAUAUGGAGGAACACCGGUGGCGAAAGCGGCUCUCUGGCCUGUAACUGACACUGAGGCUCGAAAGCGUGGGGAGCAAACAGG
rnacentral:rRNA from 1 species